AACGAACGCUGGCGGCAGGCUUAACGCAUGCAAGUCGAACGCAUCCUUCGGGGUGAGUGGCAGGCGGGUGAGUAACGCGUGGGAACGUGCCCUUCAGUUCGGGAUAACCCAGGGAAACUUGGGCUAAUACCGGAUACGUGCGAGAGCAGAAAGAUUUAUCGCUGAAGGAUCGGCCCGCGUCUGAUUAGCUAGUUGGUGGGGUAAUGGCCCACCAAGGCGACGAUCAGUAGCUGGUCUGAGAGGAUGAUCAGCCACAUUGGGACUGAGACACGGCCCAGACUCCUACGGGAGGCAGCAGUGGGGAAUAUUGGACAAUGGGCGCAAGCCUGAUCCAGCCAUGCCGCGUGAGUGAUGAAGGCCUUAGGGUUGUAAAGCUCUUUCAUCCGGGACGACAAUGACGGUACCGGAAGAAGAAGCCCCGGCUAACUUCGUGCCAGCCGCCGCCGUAAAAC
rnacentral:rRNA from 1 species